AUACUUACCUGGCAGGGGAGAUACCAUGAUCACUAAGGUGGUUCUCCCAGGGUGAGGCUCAUCCAUUGCACUCCGGGUGUGCUGACCCCUGCGAUUUCCCCAAAUGCGGGAAACUCGACUGCAUAAUUUGUGGUAGUGGGGAGAAAAAAAAAACAAAAAAACAAUCUGGUUUCAA